UGCGUAGGCGGCAUUAUAAGUCAGAGGUGAAAGCUUACAGCUUAACUGUGAAAUUGCCUUUGAAACUGUAAUGCUUGAAUCACGUUGAGGUCAGCGGAAUGUGACAUGUAGCGGUGAAAUGCAUAGAUAUGUCAUAGAACACCAAUUGCGAAGGCAGCUGGCUAGGCGUGUAUUGACGCUGAGGCACGAAAGCGUGGGGAGCGAACAGGAUUAGAUACCCUGGUAGUCC
rnacentral:rRNA from 1 species